CAUUGGGAACAGAUGGACAUGUGAGAUAGACACACUUCCUGCCCUCAAGGAUCUUAGAGUCCAGCAUGUAAUCAAGCAUGGUAUAAUUAAAAUAAUUAUUGCAUACCUAACUAAUUGCAAUUAUGAAAAGUAUAUAAAAGAAGAACUUAGGUAGGGAAAGAGAUAAAACUAAGGUAAGGCUCAGCAAUGAAGGAAAAAAGGAUGUCUGAGGUUCAUAUAACAGGACACAUUCUUCUAUAUCUCCUUUUCCACCUACUAUGAAAUUAAAAGUCAAGUACCUUUUGAGCUUGUACUUGAUGCCAAAGAGGAAGCUAUUUAUACACUGUGGUGGACUUUAUAAUACAGGUCAGUGCGAGGAAGGAAACAGAUGUUCCUAGCAAGAAUAAUGCAGAGGUUGCUCUUUUAUAAAGGGCAGAGUCAAAGUCAAGUUAUUGGGAGAAAUUUUCCUUUCCUCAGAGAAGACUUGAGUGUUUGGUCUUCGUGAAAAAUGCAUGCUCACUUGGGUGGGGUGUGCUAAAUUUUAAUGAAGAAACAAGUACUAAACUAAGUUUACAGUUCAGUUAUAAUUGAGAUUAUAGUUCAUUUAAACUGAACUAUAAUCUCAAUUAUAACUGAACUGUAAACUUAGUUUAGUAUUUGUUUCUUCAUUAAAAUUUAGUGUUAUAUUUUUAAUCUUACACAGAUUUUCCCAGUUUUACAUGUGCUUGUGUCCGUGUAUAUUUCUUUCUAUAUGAUUUUAUCACAUUUAUAGAUUUGUGUAAUUCAUGUAAUAGAAUGUCUUAAACGUUUUCUUUGUAUUCAUUGCGAACUACAUUAGACUGUGCUAUAAUUUUUUUCAACUGUGAAAUGCGAUUGAGAAAGCUCAAGAGGGAAAAAGAAUGUCAACUAUAUUCACCCGUAUUUUUACUUUCUCCAUUGUUCUGUUCUUUCUAUAGUUUCAUGAUUCCUUUUUACCAUUUUUCUGCUAGAGAUCUUUCUUCCUUUAGUCAUUCUUUUAUUGUAUGUCUAUCAGCAACUUAUCCUUUAGUUGAUAAGAAUGCUUGAUUUCUCCUUUCUUUCUGAAGGAUAUUUUUGCUGGAUACAGAAUUCUGUGCCAACAGUUCUUUUCUUUCAGAUCUUGAAAAUACCAAACAAUGACAUCCUACUGCGUAGCACAGGGAGCUAUAUCCAGGGACAGACCAUUAUGGAAGGUAAUAUGAGAAAAAGAAUGUAUAUAUGUAUGACUGGGCUACUAUGCAGUACAGCAGAAGUUGACUCAAUGCUAUAAAUCAAAUAUACCUUGAUAAAAAAUAAAUUAAAAAAGAAAAUAUCAAGCAACUUCUUUUUGGCCUCAGCGUUCUCCAAAGAGGAAUGCACUUCUAUCUCAAUAGUUUUUCAUCUAUGGGUAAUGUAUCAUUUCCUUCUUGCUACUUUCAAAAUUUUUUUUUUUUUUGGUUUGGCUUUUAGUUUUAAGAAGUUUGAUCAGGAUUUGUCUUGGUGUGAAUUUCCUGUCCUUGUCUUUUUAAUUUGGGGGCUUACUCAGCUUCUUGAGUCUGUAGAUUUAUGUCUUCUGGCAAAUUUGGAAAGUUUGAGCACUUUUAACCUUUAUCUUCCUUCUCUACUUCUUUUGGGAUUCUAAUAGCAAAUGUUUAGAUCUUUUGUUAUAGUCUCACUGUUCACUGAGAAUCUGUUCAGGUUUUUUUCAGUUUAUUUUCUCUUUGUUUUACAGAUUCAGGAAUUUGUAUUCUAUAUUAAUGUUCUCUGAUUUUUUUCCCCCUCUGUCCCCUCUAUUUUACUGUUGAGAUCACCUAUUCAUUUUUAAAUUCAGGUGGUUAUAUUUUUCAGUUCUAAAGUUCCUACUUAGUUCUUUUUAUGUUUUCUGUUUCCCUUCUUGAUACUUUCUAUUUUUCCAUCUGUUUGAAAUAUGUUUAUUAUUCCUCAUGAAAAUAUUUUUAUGAUACCUGCUUUAAAAUUCUUGUCAGAUAAUUCUAAUAUCUGUAUCAUCUUGGUAUUGGUAUCUGUUAUCUUUUUUCAUUUAAGGUGAGAUUUUCCUGGUUUUUGGUAUGAUGAAUGAUUUUCCAUUGACACUUGGACACUUACAGAAUUAUGUUAUGAGACUCUGGGUCUUGUUUCAGUUCUGUAGUUUAGCAGGCCUUAUCUGAAACUGUUCUGAUUGGAGAUAUAAAGUGCUGUUUCAUUACGGCCAAGAAGGGGUGGAAGUCCAGGUUUGCCACUUAGCCUUUGAGACGCUGGUGCAGGAAAGAGCCCUAUACUGGUGGGUGGGACCAGAAGUUCAGUCCUCAGCUGGUACCAUUCUGUCUGGUUGCUUGGGGAGCCCUGCUCCCCAUGUGGCCUUCACUAAAACUAGGAAGGUGUUAUCACUGAUAAUAAUCCCUCAUUAUCACAUUAUACUGAAUAGUGGUAAAAGUCCAGAUGUGCCUUUUCAAGGUAGGGCCACCUUGUUACUACCUGGUGAGAAUAUCACAGCUCCCAAUUUGGCUUUUUUGCACCACCCUGCAGGGUGUUGGGGCACCUUGUUACAACCUGCUGAGAGUGGAAAUUUAAAGCACCUCUGCCUACCAUUGUUUUAUUUUUUAUCUUUGUUUGUUUGUUUGCACCUGGAACAUGUGGAAGUUCGCAGGCCAGGGACUGAACCCAUGCCGCAUUUGUGACCUGUGUCAUAGCUGCAGCAACAGCAAAUCCUUAACCUGCUGCACCACAAGGGAGCUCCCUUCUUUUUUCAUUUUUUCAUCUCUGGCAUUUGGCUAAAGAAGAGCAAUUAUUGUGUAAAUGUGCUCUAUCUUGCUAGGCUGCCUCUUCCUGGCUAGAAAGAAUAGGCUCUUCUUUGUGUCUUUGUUUUUUUGGUUUUUUGUCUCUGCUGAGUGUUUCCAGGGUCCUGGCUUCUCUGGAACCCAGUCUGGGGUAUAUGAGGCAAAAAGAAAAAUUUGGACACCACCAAGUCAUUCCUUGGGCUCCAAAUUUUCUUUUCUCCAACUUUGAGAAGCUCCUUAUGCUUAUUGUACAUAUACUUUUUAGUUGUACCUAGCCAAAGGAAUAGGGAAAAGUAUGUCUACUCCAUCUUUUGAAACAGAAGUGGAAUUCAUUUUUAAAAUGGAAAAGUGACCCUGGCUUGCAGGUGGUAGUGGUGAUGGAUUCAUGGAAGGGAGCCAACCCUGAGGGAACUCUGCUUACUCCCAGGUGACUUAUAGGACAUCUCUGGGGCUACUGAUUCUUGAAGAAAGAGGCUGGAAG
rnacentral:lncRNA from 1 species